rnacentral:rRNA from 1 species
GACGAACGCUGGCGGCGUGCCUAAUACAUGCAAGUAGAACGCUGAAGAGAGGAGCUUGCUCUUCUUGGAUGAGUUGCGAACGGGUGAGUAACGCGUAGGUAACCUGCCUUGUAGCGGGGGAUAACUAUUGGAAACGAUAGCUAAUACCGCAUAACAAUGGAUGACACAUGUCAUUUAUUUGAAAGGGGCAAUUGCUCCACUACAAGAUGGACCUGCGUUGUAUUAGCUAGUAGGUGAGGUAAUGGCUCACCUAGGCGACGAUACAUAGCCGACCUGAGAGGGUGAUCGGCCACCCUGGGACUGAGACACGGCCCAGACUCCUACGGGAGGCAGCAGUAGGGAAUCUUCGGCAAGGGGGGCAACCCUGACCGAGCAACGCCGCGGGAGUGAAGAAGGUUUUCGGAUCGUAAAGCUCUGCUGUAAGUCAAGAACGGGUGUGAGAGUGGAAAGUUCACACUGUGACGGUAGCUUACCAGAAAGGGACGGCUAACUACGUG